CACCAGGCUUCUGUAACUUAUAAAAUGGCGGCGUCCACAUGUAUACGUCCUUCCCGGGAUUAGCCAGGCAGCUAGAGGAUGACUUAAUAAGGAGAGUGGAGAAACUGGCCAAUUAAUGAACAUGCCCUGUUCAAGAUGUUCAACUUGGCUGCUCCAGCUACCAUGCCUGCUGCCUGCCACCUCCACUCUGUCAUGGAACUGUAAGCCCAAAUAAACUCUUUUUUUAUCUAAGUUGCCUUGGCCACGUUUUAUCACAAUAUCAGAAAAGUGACUGAUACACAGGGUUUCUUACUGAACCUGGAGCUGGCCAGCAAGCCUGUGGGAGCCAUCUGUUUCUAUCCAUGAGUGCUGCACUGUGCCGUCAUGCUCAGCUUCUAAAGAUGUGCUUGGGAUCUGAACUCAAGUCUUCAUGCAAGCACUUUGCCCAUUGAACUAUCUCCCCCAUCUCUCCCAUGGCUCUUGGUAAUGUUGUUCUAAAAUGUCACUCAAAUAAAUUUGUAUCCUUUUGUAAA
rnacentral:lncRNA from 1 species